UAUAUUGAAUGGCAUCAUUCGAUAUUGAAAACUCCGGUGGAUAGAGAUGGGCACGCGCAAGAUUAGAUAGUUGGUGAGGUAACGGCUCACCAAGUCURCGAUCUUUAGGGGGCCUGAGAGGGUGAUCCCCCACACUGGUACUGAGACACGGACCAGACUCCUACGGGAGGCAGCAGUGAGGAAUAUUGGACAAUGGGUGAGAGCCUGAUCCAGCCAUCCCGCGUGAAGGACGACGGCCCUAUGGGUUGUAAACUUCUUUUGUAUAGGGAUAAACCUAGAUACGUGUAUCUAGCUGAAGGUACUAUACGAAUAAGCACCGGCUAACUCCGUGCCAGCAGCCGCGGUAAUACGGAGGGUGCAAGCGUUAUCCGGAUUUAUUGGGUUUAAAGGGUCCGUAGGCGGAUCUGUAAGUCAGUGGUGAAAUCUCACAGCUUAACUGUGAAACUGCCAUUGAUACUGCAGGUCUUGAGUGUUGUUGAAGUAGCUGGAAUAAGUAGUGUAGCGGUGAAAUGCAUAGAUAUUACUUAGAACACCAAUUGCGAAGGCAGGUUACUNNNAAGCAACAACUGACGCUGAUGGACGAAAGCGUGGGGAGCGAACAGGAUUAGAUACCCUGGUAGUCCACGCCGUAAACGAUGCUAACUCGUUUUUGGGAUUUAGGUUUCAGAGACUAAGCGAAAGUGAUAAGUUAGCCACCUGGGGAGUACGUUCGCAAGAAUGAAACUCAAAGGAAUUGACGGGGGCCCGCACAAGCGGUGGAUUAUGUGGUUUAAUUCGAUGAUACGCGAGGAACCUUACCAAGGCUUAAAUGGGAAAUGACAGGUUUAGAAAUAGACUUUUCUUCGGACAUUUUUCAAGGUGCUGCAUGGUUGUCGUCAGCUCGUGCCGUGAGGUGUUAGGUUAAGUCCUGCAACGAGCGCAACCCCUGUCACUAGUUGCCAUCAUUAAGUUGGGGACUCUAGUGAGACUGCCUACGCAAGUAGAGAGGAAGGUGGGGAUGACGUCAAAUCAUCACGGCCCUUACGCCUUGGGCCACACACGUAAUACAAUGGCCAGUACAGAGGGCAGCUACACAGCGAUGUGAUGCAAAUCUCGAAAGCUGGUCUCAGUUCGGAUUGGAGUCUGCAA
rnacentral:rRNA from 1 species